rnacentral:rRNA from 1 species
AGAGUUUGAUCAUGGCUCAGAUUGAACGCUGGCGGCAGGCCUAACACAUGCAAGUCGAACGGUAACAGGAAGAAGCUUGCUUCUUCGCUGACGAGUGGCGGACGGGUGAGUAAUGUCUGGGAAACUGCCUGAUGGAGGGGGAUAACUACUGGAAACGGUAGCUAAUACCGCAUAACGUCGCAAGACCAAAGAGGGGGACCUUCGGGCCUCUUGCCAUCGGAUGUGCCCAGAUGGGAUUAGCUAGUAGGUGGGGUAACGGCUCACCUAGGCGACGAUCCCUAGCUGGUCUGAGAGGAUGACCAGCCACACUGGAACUGAGACACGGUCCAGACUCCUACGGGAGGCAGCAGUGGGGAAUAUUGCACAAUGGGCGCAAGCCUGAUGCAGCCAUGCCGCGUGUAUGAAGAAGGCCUUCGGGUUGUAAAGUACUUUCAGCGGGGAGGAAGGGAGUAAAGUUAAUACCUUUGCUCAUUGACGUUACCCGCAGAAGAAGCACCGGCUAACUCCGUGCCAGCAGCCGCGGUAAUACGGAGGGUGCAAGCGUUAAUCGGAAUUACUGGGCGUAAAGCGCACGCAGGCGGUUUGUUAAGUCAGAUGUGAAAUCCCCGGGCUCAACCUGGGAACUGCAUCUGAUACUGGCAAGCUUGAGUCUCGUAGAGGGGGGUAGAAUUCCAGGUGUAGCGGUGAAAUGCGUAGAGAUCUGGAGGAAUACCGGUGGCGAAGGCGGCCCCCUGGACGAAGACUGACGCUCAGGUGCGAAAGCGUGGGGAGCAAACAGGAUUAGGUACCCUGGUAGUCCACGCCGUAAACGAUGUCGACUUGGAGGUUGUGCCCUUGAGGCGUGGCUUCCGGAGCUAACGCGUUAAGUCGACCGCCUGGGGAGUACGGCCGCAAGGUUAAAACUCAAAUGAAUUGACGGGGGCCCGCACAAGCGGUGGAGCAUGUGGUUUAAUUCGAUGCAACGCGAAGAACCUUACCUGGUCUUGACAUCCACGGAAGUUUUCAGAGAUGAGAAUGUGCCUUCGGGAACCGUGAGACAGGUGCUGCAUGGCUGUCGUCAGCUCGUGUUGUGAAAUGUUGGGUUAAGUCCCGCAACGAGCGCAACCCUUAUCCUUUGUUGCCAGCGGUCCGGCCGGGAACUCAAAGGAGACUGCCAGUGAUAAACUGGAGGAAGGUGGGGAUGACGUCAAGUCAUCAUGGCCCUUACGACCAGGGCUACACACGUGCUACAAUGGCGCAUACAAAGAGAAGCGACCUCGCGAGAGCAAGCGGACCUCAUAAAGUGCGUCGUAGUCCGGAUUGGAGUCUGCAACUCGACUCCAUGAAGUCGGAAUCGCUAGUAAUCGUGGAUCAGAAUGCCACGGUGAAUACGUUCCCGGGCCUUGUACACACCGCCCGUCACACCAUGGGAGUGGGUUGCAAAAGAAGUAGGUAGCUUAACCUUCGGGAGGGCGCUUACCACUUUGUGAUUCAUGACUGGGGUGAAGUCGAAACAAGGUAACCGUAGGGGAACCUGCGGUUG